GCCCGUGUAGCUCAGUUGGUAGAGCAGCGCAUUCGUAACGCGAAGGUUGCAGGUUCGACUCCUGUCUCGGGCA
rnacentral:tRNA from 1 species